rnacentral:rRNA from 1 species
GACGAACGCUGGCGGCGUGCUUAACACAUGCAAGUCGAACGGAAAGGCCCCUUUGGGGGUACUCGAGUGGCGAACGGGUGAGUAACACGUGAGUAACCUGCCCUUGACUUCGGGAUAACUUCAGGAAACUGGGGCUAAUACCGGAUAGGAAUCCUUGCUGCAUGGUGGGGGUUGGAAAGCUUCGGCGGUUUUGGAUGGACUCGCGGCUUAUCAGCUUGUUGGUGGGGUAGUGGCUUACCAAGGCUUUGACGGGUAGCCGGCCUGGGAGGGCGACCGGCCACAUUGGGACUGAGGUGCGGCCCAGGCUCCUACGGGAGGCAGCAGUGGGGAAUAUUGCACAAUGGGCGGAAGCCUGAUGCAGCAACGCCGCGUGCGGGAUGACGGCCUUCGGGUUGUAAACCGCUUUCAGCAGGGGCGAAGCUUGUGGUGACGGUACCUGCAGAAGAAGCACCGGCUAACUACGUG